UACGUAGGGGGCGAGCGUUGUCCGGAAUCAUUGGGCGUAAAGCGCGUGUAGGCGGCCCGGUAAGUCCGCUGUGAAAGUCCAGGGCUCAACCCUGGGAUGCCGGUGGAUACUGUCGGGCUCGAGUCCGGAAGAGGAGUGUGGAAUUCCUGGUGUAGCGGUGAAAUGCGCAGAUAUCAGGAGGAACACCGGUGGCGAAGGCGGGUCACUGGGCAGUAACUGACGCUGAGGAGCGAAAGCGUGGGGAGCGAACAGG
rnacentral:rRNA from 1 species